AAGCUGUUUUCAUUUCUUUUUGUCACAGUAUAUAUUGCAUCAUGCUGUAAAUGUGGCAAAUACAAGCCUGAAAACAGUUAGGUUUCUUAUUUAAUGUAAAUAGUUUUUGUUUCCAAUGAGGCAGUUUCUGGUACUCCUAUGCAAUAUUACUCAGCUUUUUUAUUGUAAAGAAUCGAGUCACUGUUUAGUACCUGGAAGGGAAUUCAGUGGGUUAAUAACGUAAGGGUUGCCAGUGGUCCUUGUGCAGUAGAGCUGGAUUUGAUCUUGGUUGGGUUGUGAGAUCUGUGAAAUCCAUUUUGGUGGUUGGUUUUUAACCUGAAUUCUGUAUUUUUUUAAAUAGACAAGGAAAAGUAAAAACACUUAAAACACACAAACGUUUGACAUCGCUUCUGCUGCUCCAGCUCUAACGUGGUGACUCUUGAUUCUUUUGAAAGGGUGAAGCAAUGACUGACACCCAAUUAGCUUCAUCUGCUUAACGAACAGAUCAUAAGUAGUGGAUCUCUGGCUCUUUCUGUAGCUCGUAGUCUGUGCUCAUCUUCGUUCACAACCGUUCAAAGAUUUGCUGGGCCUGGUUUAGAUGAGCUUUGCAGACUCAUGCUAAACAUCUGACUUUUGGUUCAGUUCCCUCUGGAUCCAGGACAGAGCUCCUCCUCCGAGUGAUCCUCCUGCCUUCCCUGUCAGCUGCAGCUUCUCCCCAGGCUCAGGCUCAGAAUCCUGCCAGCUCCCGGCUGUUUUCCUGGCUGGAGCUGCAGCAGAGCUCCCAUUACACAGGCUGGAAAUGCAGGAUGAAAGGUCUGUCCUGCAGGUUAGAGAGUCAAUUCCCUCUGGGGAAACCUGGGACUCUGGGUGGGUAACAGGGACUGUGGCUGGGGCUGCAGUACAGGGUGAAUAGCACUGGGCAAACUGGGAUCACAAACCUCUUGCAAGUCAGAAAUCCACCUUGGAAUUUCAAUCUGAAUCAGGAUAUUUGCAUCCGUAAUAGAGCAAGACAGCUCUUUAUUCCUGUUCUGGGAGGGAAUUGAACUU
rnacentral:lncRNA from 1 species